UACGUAGGGGGCAAGCGUUAUCCGGAUUUACUGGGUGUAAAGGGAGCGUAGACGGUAAGGCAAGUCAGAUGUGAAAGCCCGGGGCUCAACCGCGGGACUGCAUUUGAAACUGUCCUACUGGAGUGCAGGAGAGGUAAGUGGAAUUCCUAGUGUAGCGGUGAAAUGCGUAGAUAUUAGGAGGAACACCAGUGGCGAAGGCGGCUUACUGGACUGUAACUGACGUUGAGGCUCGAAAGCGUGGGGAGCAAACAGG
rnacentral:rRNA from 1 species